UUGUGUGCAAUACGCCGCAUUUGACUCUGGCUCAGUAGGUCGGAGCUGUGUGACUUUGUGAUACUGCCUCCCGCACCACCAAACCUUAUCAAACAACAAAAAAAAACAUCGUCGAUCAUCAGCAAGGACCGAUCUGAGGACAAGGACGCUGUCCACGUCUUACAAUAGCAGCUCAGCGGACAGGUAUGGGGGCUGUUCCCAGCAGGUGUGAUGGUGUCACUGGGGGGAUGGGGUCUCAGUACAGUGUGAGCGACCAGGACAGGGACAACCAGCCUAUACUUAAGAAGGAUGACAGCAGGAGACACAGCUCUGGAGAGACGGUGCACUGUCCCACAUGCCAGGGUACUGGACGUAUACCUAGAGGUCAGGAGAGCAAGCUGGUGGCUGUCAUCCCCUGUAAUGACCAGAGGCUGAGACCCAGACACACGAAGCUGUACGUUGCUGUGUCUGUUGGUGUGUGCCUCCUGGUCAGCGCCUUGGUUUUGUUCUUCCUGUUUCCUCGCUCUGUCCUCCUGUCUCCAGUAGCUGUCAAGUCAUCCUUUGUUUACUUCACUGAAGAUGACGUCCAAAUUAACAUCACGAAUGUCCUAAACAUCACCAACAACAACUUUGCCGUGGUGCAGGCCUACAAUCUGACAGUGCAGGCCCUGAACUUCGACAUGGUGGUGGGAACAGUUUCUAUUAAGAACGUCACCUCUGUCCAACCUCUGUCUGUCAUAAUGUAUUCCUUUGUGAUCCCCAUCAAACUGACAGACCCUGAUCUGAGUAACUACUGCAGGAAAGCUUCUCUGCCUGUCCACAUUCUGUAUCUGCAUCUACAGAUGUCUAUGACAGUGUACUACCUGGCCCACUAUGAGCAGCUCUCCCUGGAGACAUAUGAGUACAUCGACUGUGGAGCAAACAGCACCAUACCACACAGUAUGCAGCCCCCACCCACCUGAUGGAUGGACUGUGGAUGGAAGGACACACAGACGAACUGAUGAACAGAAACUGUGGACAUGUGGACUUUUUGUGAGAUGGAUGGAUGAUGAGAAGCCCAGCUGAGAAGACAAGAUGAAUCUGAGUGACUAAAUAAAGAAUGGACUUUUUAUACCUCAUCUUAGUAUGAAGGAAAGAAGGAUGGGAACAAGUGCACUAAUUUCACUGUCUUCACUGAUGGUUUAACAGUUCUACAGAUCAAAUUGUACCAUGGAG